rnacentral:rRNA from 1 species
UACGAACCGUGCGAACGUUGUUCGGAAUCACUGGGCUUAAAGGGCGCGUAGGCGGUACUUCAAGUCAGGCGUGAAAGCCCCGGGCUCAACCUGGGAACCGCGCUUGAGACUGGAGAACUAGAGUUCGGGAGAGGAUGGUGGAAUUCCCAGUGUAGAGGUGAAAUUCGUAGAUAUUGGGAAGAACACCGAUGGCGAAGGCAGCCAUCUGGACCGACACUGACGCUGGAGGCGCGGAAAAGCGUGGGGAGCAAACAGG